rnacentral:rRNA from 1 species
UUCCGGUUGAUCCUGCCGGACCUGACUGCUAUCGGAUUGAUACUAAGCCAUGCGAGUCUUUGUAGUAAUACAAGACAGACGGCUCAGUAACACGUAGUCAACCUACCCUAUGGACAAGAAUAAUCUCGGGAAACUGAGCAUAAUUCUUGAUAGAUCAUAAUGCCUGGAAUGGUUUAUGGUUAAAAUGAUUCGUCGCCAUAGGAUGGGACUGCGGCCUAUCAGCUUGUUGGUGAGGUAAUGGCCCACCAAGGCGAUUACAGGUACGGGCUCUGAGAGGAGAAGCCCGGAGAUGGGUACUGAGACACGGACCCAGGCCCUAUGGGGCGCAGCAGGCGAGAAAACUUUGCAAUGUGCGAAAGCACGACAAGGUUAAUCCGAGUGAUUUCUGCUAAAGAAAUCUUUUGCUAGUUAUAAAACCACUAGUGAAUAAGGGGUGGGCAAGUUCUGGUGUCAGCCGCCGCGGUAAAACCAGCACCUCAAGUGGUCAGGAUGAUUAUUGGGCCUAAAGCAUCCGUAGCCGGUUUUGUUAGUUUUCGGUUAAAUCCAUACGCUCAACGUAUGGGCUGCCGAAAAUACUGCAGGACUAGGGAGUGGGAGAGGUAGACGGUACUCAGUAGGAAGGGGUAAAAUCCUUUGAUCUAUUGAUGACCACCUGUGGCGAAGGCGGUCUACCAGAACACGUUCGACGGUGAGGGAUGAAAGCUGGGGGAGCAAACCGGAUUAGAUACCCGGGUAGUCCCAGCUGUAAACGAUGCAGACUCGAUGAUGCAUUGGCAUAUAGCCAAUGCAGUGUCGCAGGGAAGCCGUUAAGUCUGCCGCCUGGGAAGUACGUACGCAAGUAUGAAACUUAAAGGAAUUGGCGGGGGAGCACCACAAGGGGUGAAGCCUGCGGUUCAAUUGGAUUCAACGCCGGG